GAGAACGUGGUGUCCCCUGUGCCUUCGGCCGCGGAGCAGAUGAGGACCAGAGGCUCCCCCGCAAGUGCCCGGCCCUCCGGGGGCUGGGUCUCCAGGAGCACUCCGGACACCGGGACCCCUGCGUGGACACGAGACAGAGGAUGGCUGUGAUCUGCAGUUCCGGGGACCGGCUCCAGUCUGACAGCACGACCCUGCGGUCCCUGAAGAAGCUGAAAUGAAGCACAGUGUCCGGCCGCUCUGGAGGCAGCUGAGUUUCACAGCUCAGGUUCACAGAACUGCCCUCUGUGGGCUGGGAGGGGGUGACUUUCAGCUUCGGGUGUGGAAACAGUUCUAGAGAGAAGAGGGAAACCAAGGUCUCAGAGGGCGGCCCUGGGGGCCCUGGGGCAGGCGGGCUCGGCUGCUGGGUCCUGGGGAACUUCAGACACAAGGCACGACACGGGCGGACCCCGCCUUCCCCUCUUUCCGCCCCAGCUCGAGUGCAAGGGCCCCGCGGCUCUGCCUGCCGGGGGCCACGCGUCCCUCGUUACCCAGCGUUGGGACGGCAAUGUGUGGGUGCCCUGUCACACACUGGGCAAGUCGAUAAUCUGCAUGAAAUGAAAGGUUUACCUUGAAUUUGAACAGACUUGGCAUUUGACCUCCAUGUGUGCAUUUUGUCCACACGCCCAGUGCAGUGGUAGAAGCCACUGUUGUUUGAACUUGCUCGUGGUAUCGAAAGGUCCUGGCUCUGAUUGGAGGCGGAGAUGACUUUUCCGUUCCAAAUGUACUUCACAGAGGUCAGUGUCUCUUGACUCCUCGUCUGGCACCUCAGGACCAGUGUGUCACCUUCAAACACGCCAUGUGGAGCCUGGAGCACGAGCCAGUCUGGAAGCCACACACAGACAGGGGCUUGGUGCUGAGGACGCCCUCUCCUCUGGGUGCAGCUCGGAUCACAAGGCUUGGCUGUGUUUUUCCUGUCUCUCUUCCAGGGUUCGUCUCCUGCCUCGGGCCCAUUCCUUCCCUCCCGAGUCUGUAUGACCUGCUUCAGCGGCAAGUCGUAAAUGAACCCCAAACACACCACCUUGAGACCCCCCCCCCCCCCGCCACUCGGGGGCAGAACCACAGCAUGAGGAUUCUAACGUGACCAUGAGCCGCACCGUGACUUUGCCGAACGUGGUUACAGAUCACCCCCGACCGGCUCACCCGGGCCCCGAGCGGGAGUCACUGGGGGUCGGGGGGGGGGGGGGAUUCCGGGGAAGAGACUAGAAACUGUCACCGCGCACUGGGGUUUGCUCUGUGGCAGGCUUGUCAAACACAAACCCCGGGGGCGAGGGACGGGGAGCGGGGUCCCUGGCGGACAUUCUCCCGCUCUUUAGACGCUCGUGACAGGUCAGUUCUGUCCCCUGUAAGGUGACUCAGGGACUGACUGCCUGUCCCCCUGCGCGGUCCCCAUGCGGUGGUCCAGACCAUUGUCUGUGAAGUGGGCAAAGCAGGACCGGGAGAGAGUGGGUGCCCCCUGAGGCGGGACAGUGGGAGGAGAGAAGGGACGGGUGUCAGGAAGGGGGAGGGGGAGGGACACAGGCCUGACGGGGAAACUCCCCUCCUCCGAACUCAUCUGUGUCCCUGUCUUGUCUCUUGCAGGAGGCUGGCCGGCCCUGAGGGCACGGGCGAAAGCAGCCUCAGUUUGCAAUCCCCUAAACGAAUUCCUUCCUCCCCGUAAAGGCGCAGGGAUGUCUGCUGAGUGGUGUUAGAAAAUGACACUCUAACGUCUGUCGACAGUCCUUUGAAAAACACCUACAGACAAUGAGGGGCCCUGGGAAAUGACGGUGUUGGAGGUCAAGGGUUAGCGCUGAGCGAAGGCCCCCAGGUCUGCCCACCCCAGGGGGCGAGGAUACGCGAAACGACUUGUAAAGGUCUAAGUAGUUCACCUGCUUGCUCACCUGAAGAAAAGAUCAUGUUCACUUGGUCACUUGGGAGCGAGUCCUGGGUCUGGCAUCUGUACUGUCCGGAGUCACGGACCUCCAGGGUGUUGCCUGGGGUUUCGCGUAGCAUUCUCCUCCCAAGGUACCAAAGGAACCGUUUUAUUUUCUCUGGAGCGUGGAAGUGAAAUACAUUGCAAGUCAGGGUCACUGUCUCUCCUUUGAAGGCGACGGUCCAUGGAGGAUGGAGGGAAAUCACGGGUUUGGACGCAGCUUCUGAGGAAGAGAGAGACAGAGCCUGAGAUGGGGACGCCUGUGGUCCCCGCCGUGGUCGUCUGUGUGGGACGGACCCCAGGACCAGGCUUGGGGGGAUCCCCAGGAAAGCCCCUGUCGGGAGGAACACGGUUUGCCUAGGCUCGGCUUUCCUGGCUGCGUUCACCUUUGCCAGGGGUGCGGUGGCCGCUCUGUGGUCUGUAGGGGCAGGCUGGCCUUCCAGGGGACGACCCCAGCCGGCCCCGCUCUCCGUGGAAGGGCAGCCAUGGGGGCUGGGCCCUCGGUCGGUCCCUCCUGACUCCCUCCUGUUACAGCCGUCUGUCUAAGAGGAGCCUUUGUGUGGCGUGGCCGUGUGGUGGGGUGGGGGCUUUCGACGGGGGUUUGCGGGGGGGGGAAGUGUAGGAAUUUGGGGGUUGAUUAUGCAAUUACGGAGAAGUUGUAUUUUUACCGAAACACGAAGUGGGUGUGGGAUAGUGAUGCUCAGACAGAGGCACACAGAGCGUGAGUGCCAGGAGCCAGAAGCUUCUCACUCCCCAGACUCAAGGAUCUGCUUCUUGACAGUGGAAUAUGGGCCUUGCAUGAAAUCAGGCCCUAAGAUCUUUGGAAUCCCGACGGACAGACAGGAGCUGGAGCGUGUGCAGUAAGAGUUGAAUUCUCCCCGUUGAAAAUCAGGGAAAAGACUUCUCUCUGCCUUCCUUUUCUUUAAGAAUUCCUUUCUAGCGUACGUGAAUCUUUGGACACUUGCCAGUCUCACCACUGGGGAAUGUCCUGCUCAGGAAGGAGCCAUCGCCUUUUGGGAUGUGGACAGCUAGGGGCAGAGACGUCUCCCUGCUCCAACACGCACAGCAGCCCCAGCCCCAGACUAUGCAGACGUUCUUUCCCGGGGUGGCUAAAAGCCAGUUACCCCGCACAGUGGUCUUCCCAGGUACUGAGAUAGAGCUCGGAUGAACUGCGUGGGACAGAAGGCACCGUCGGGGCCUUGUGCCUGACAAGUGACUAUUUGGCCGUGGGACCUGUGUGCCGUGAGGAGGGGCUGCUCAGCUGAGUCGGGAGUCGAGAUUCCCUGGUGCCCUGGUGACCUCUUAGCGGAUGGCCUGAGAUGCCCGUCGCACCCUGGUUUGACUUGUCUUCAACAACAAGUGUUUUCUUUCUCUGCCACCUCUGUGGAGAAGAUUUCUGGACUGGGAGAAAAUUUUGCUUUUAAUUACAUUUUCCCAGCAACAAACUGCCACGGAGACACUUCUGUCUCUAGGUGUUUAUUUUCUGAGUUUCGUACCUUUGAGAUUGGGAGGGCUGGUCAGUGAAGCGGACCCAGCAUACACCACCGUGGCCUGAAAAAUUAUGUUGAGCUGGGGGCAUUUCAGAGGAGAUUUCAUAUAUAUUUUUGAUUCUGAACACCCUUACCUGCCUCCCAGAAGGACUCCGUUAUAAAUCGCCCCCCAGGAGUAACCAGGAGCAGUGGACUCUUACCAGCAAGGACUAAACAGACGUCACGAAACUACCCUAACGUGCCGUCUGCUCUCCAAAGGGCCGGGGCGUCUUUCCUGAAAGCCCUUCGUUUUCCAAGAAGGGUCCUCCUCCCUGGCCCCUUUCCCUGCUCAGACGGUAUCUGAGCCCCAAGUCCCAACCGCCUCCCGGGCUCACAGUUUCUGUGCGCCCUGGUAAGAUCUUUCUCCUGCGAAUCUGUCUUUUGUCUGUUUACUUGGCAGUCCCCAGUGAGACACUUAAGGGGAAAGAGAUGUUUUUCUUCCCUGAGAUGCUACUCACCGUCGGAAACCUCCACCCACACUCCCUUCCCCUUGGUGGCCUGCUGCCUGGGCCAGCAGUUUGUUGGCCUAACCUCUCGGUGUUACCAACACCGAGGAAGUACAACUGCAAAGUGACCUCUAGCAUUCUGCCUGAGAUGCAGGAAUUCAUGACUUUGGGGACAGUUACCAGCCACUACUGGAUCGGGAGAUGUCAGGGGAAUAGAGCCAGGAGAGGACCCCCCCACCCUCUGCCCCCAGUGGGGGGGCGCUGGGAGUGGUCUUGCCUCUAUGGUGAAGGACCCAAGCUUCCUGGGGGGUUGGGGGCUGGGGAGAGCUCUCAUGUGGUUUUGGUUACCUCCCUCCUCCCCCAACUUCCUGUCGUGCUGCCUGAAGCUGGGGCCCCUGCCACGUUUAAAAAAUCAAUAUGAGACUCGAGCUUUGUUCUGCAGAAUUGCCUGUGGUAAUCUAAAUCCGGUGAAGUAGAAAAUAAACCAGAUUAUUUCCAUGUGCAA